AACGGUCCUAAGGUAGCGAAAUUCCUUGUCGGGUAAGUUCCGACCCGCACGAAAGGCGUAACGAUUUGGGCACUGUCUCAACAACAGACUCGGUGAAAUUGUAAUUCCGGUGAAGAUGCCGGAUACCUGCGACAGGACGGAAAGACCCCAUGGAGCUUUACUGUAGCUUGACAUUGGGUCUUGGUACUACAUGUACAGGAUAGGUGGGAGGCUUUGAAACCAGGACGCCAGUUUUGGCGGAGCCAUCCUUGGGAUACCACCCUUGUAGUACUGGGACUCUAACCAUAGGCCAUGAAUCUGGUCUUGGGACACUGUCAGGUGGGCAGUUUGACUGGGGCGGUCGCCUCCCAAA
rnacentral:rRNA from 1 species